rnacentral:rRNA from 1 species
CCUACGGGUAGCAGCAGUGGGGAAUAUUGGACAAUGGGCGAAAGCCUGAUCCAGCCAUGCCGCGUGUGUGAAGAAGGCCUUCGGGUUGUAAAGCACUUUCAGUGGGGAAGAAAGCCUUGGGGCUAAUACCCUCGAGGAAGGACAUCACCCACAGAAGAAGCACCGGCUAACUCCGUGCCAGCAGCCGCGGUAAUACGGAGGGUGCGAGCGUUAAUCGGAAUUACUGGGCGUAAAGCGCGCGUAGGCGGUCUGAUAAGCCGGUUGUGAAAGCCCCGGGCUCAACUUGGGAACGGCAUCCGGAACUGUCAGGCUAGAGUGCAGGAGAGGAAGGUAGAAUUCCCGGUGUAGCGGUGAAAUGCGUAGAGAUCGGGAGGAAUACCAGUGGCGAAGGCGGCCUUCUGGACUGACACUGACGCUGAGGUGCGAAAGCGUGGGUAGCAAACAGGAUUAGAUACCCUGGUAGUC